CGUGAGCAGCAGGGUGGAGCAACAAGUUAGGUUUUGCUUCUCCCGAGGGGUUAGAUUUCACUUUUCUGAAGGGGCUCAUUUCCGUAAGUAGGAGCCGUUUUAGGAACAGGAGCCAUUGUAGAGUGCAGGACCAUCGGAGCCAUUUUGUCUGGUAGAGAACUCUAUCAAGGACAUUGUCAUAAAGAUUACAUAAGUAUUCGCCAAGUGCUAAAAUCUGCAGAAGGCGGGAACAGCAUUUGGCCGAAUCCCGUUGGAAUCUGGGAUGCAAUGGCUUGGCAGCAAAGGACUGCGGAACUGGCAGGUUGAGGUUUUCAUUAAGAAAGGCAACUCUCAGCCAGGCAUGGUAGCACGCCUGCCUGUAACCGCGGACUCUGGAAGGCUGAGGAGGGGGAUCCCAGCUUCAAGCCCAGCCUGGGCAACUUAGUGACAUGGCAGGAUCCUGCCUCACCAAGAAAGAAUAAAAAGUGUCUGGUGAUGUAGCUCAGUCUGCAGGCCCUGGGUCCAAUGCCCAGUACUGAAAAGAGAAGAGAAGAGAAAAGAGAGAGAAAGACUAUUAGUAGAGUGGAGUGGGGCUGUUGUGAUAGGCUAUGUAAGAACUGGUAAGAGCUGGGUGUGGUGGCACAAACCUGUAAUCCCAGCACUCGAGAGGCUGAGGCAGGAGGAUCACCUUGAGUUCGAGGCCAGCCUGAACUACAUUGCAAGACCUUGUGUCAACAACUACAAAAAGAAAAAAAAAUCGAACUUUAAGGGCUGGGGAUGUAGCUCAGUGGUGCUGUAGCUCAGUGGUGCUGUGCCUGAUUUGCAAGGCCAAGGUCCUGAGUUCGAUCUCUGGUACAGGGAGGCAGGGGAGAACAGAUAAGAAGAAGGGUAUCAGUGUGAGUGUAAGAAAAAGACGUGUUAGGGCCGGGGAUUUAGCUCAGUGGUUUUGCUGCCUGCCGUGCAAGCACAAGGACCCAAGUUCAAUCCCCAGGACCAAAAAAAAAGAAAAGAAAAAAGACAUAUUUGAGAGAGGUUUCAGAAGCAGGACUGAUAUAGUUAUAGGGGCAGAAUUUCCAGAGAGAUAAAUAAGGACUUAUUACAAACAGCCUGGGUUGAGCAUAUAGCUUAGGUGCAUGGCAGUAAUGAGGACCCUGAAGAACCGUGGACUCAUCCGCCUGUUGCCAGUCUCCUGGGACGGCUUUAUCCCGCUUCCCCUGCCGCACAGGGAGCCCCGGUGCUGAGUUUGCUUCUCCGUUGAAAGCGUAUCAGAACACACACGUUUCAAACAGGUAGACACCUGGAAGAAGGAGGAGCGAAGGGAGGGGCAUGACUUGUGUAGGAGGAGAAGAGGCGCCGGCGAGGGACGGGAAAGGUGAGGACUUCUGCUGAGCAAGAAGGUGUCUCGUCGGGAUGUGGGAACAGGUUCACCCCAGAAUCUGAGGAGGAAGA
rnacentral:lncRNA from 1 species